CAGCUUCUGCAGCAGCAGGCCGGCGGCGCCGUUGCGGUCGGCGGCCAGCAGCAGGCGGGUCGGCAGUUGUUCGGACUGGCGGAAGUAGUCC
rnacentral:tRNA from 1 species